UACACACCGCCCGUCACACCAUGGGAGUUGGUUUUACCUGAAGACGGUGCGCUAAUCGCAAGGAGGCAGCCGGCCACGGUAGGGUCAGCGACUGGGGUG
rnacentral:rRNA from 1 species